rnacentral:rRNA from 1 species
AGCGAACGCUGGCGGUAGGCCUAACACAUGCAAGUCGAACGGCAGCACAGUAAGAGCUUGCUCUUACGGGUGGCGAGUGGCGGAUGGGUGAGGAAUACAUCGGAAUCUACUUUUUCGUGGGGGAUAACGUAGGGAAACUUACGCUAAUACCGCAUACGACCUACGGGUGAAAGCAGGGGAUCUUCGGACCUUGCGCGAUUGAAUGAGCCGAUGUCGGAUUAGCUAGUUGGCGGGGCAAAGGCCCACCAAGGCGACGAUCCGUAGCUGGUCUGAGAGGAUGAUCAGCCACACUGGAACUGAGACACGGUCCAGACUCCUACGGGAGGCAGCAGUGGGGAAUAUUGGACAAUGGGCGCAAGCCUGAUCCAGCCAUACCGCGUGGGUGAAGAAGGCCUUCGGGUUGUAAAGCCCUUUUGUUGGGAAAGAAAAGCAGCAGGUUAAUACCCCGCUGUUCUGACGGUACCCAAAGAAUAAGCACCGGCUAACUUCGUG